ACAUUCGAGUAGCUUCACCACCAAUUAGAUAUCCAUGCUUUAUGGGAAUAAACAUUCCCACAAAAGAGGAGCUGAUUGCCAACAAGCCAGAAUUUGAUCAUCUUGCAGAAUACCUAGGAGCAAACAGUGUUGUGUAUCUGUCAGUAGAAGGACUGGUUUCAUCUGUACAAGAAAAGAUAAAAUUUAAGCAAGAGAAAGUAAAAAAGCAUGACAUUAGGAUUCAAGAAAAUGGAAAUGGUCUGGAAUAUUUUGAAAAGUCUGGUCAUUGUACUGCUUGUCUCACUGGCAAAUACCCUGUAGAACUGGAAUGGUAGCUAAGAGAAAGAUAACGUUACUUCCAGACAGAAUGCUGGUCAAAAAGUAGUUAUACAUUAUUUACUUAAUGAGUACAAAAUAAAAUGCCAUAUGCUUAAGUUUGCCUUUAGAAGUUUUGAAGUUUUUUUCUGAAAAGGGUACCAAAGUCUUCUAAUUGACCUUUUAAUUGCAUAUGAUUCCAUAUGCAGGACUUCUUUUAUAUAUAUAUGUAUGUAUAUGUAUACAUACAUGUAUGUAUAUAUGCAUGUAUAUAUAUGUGUGUGUGCAUUUACAUACAUAUACAUGUCUAUGUAUAUGUAUAAGCACUGGCUAAUCUUUAUCACCUGGUCAGAGAAGGCAGGUAGUUAAAUGGUAUUUGUCAAGUCCAUGCUUAAGAGUUUUGCAAGAGGUUAAACUAGCAGUUGUGACAUGGUCAGAUUAGUUAACUAUAUCAAUUCAUGUGAAGUUUGAAUUCAUUAUAACCCAUAGGUGUUCAGUUCUGUCUAUACUCAAAGCUGGUUUCUCUGUCUGCCUUAUUCCCCCCCACCAUUAUUUUAGGGAAUUAGCAUACGAUGAAAAGUUGGGAGGCUGACGCAGGAAAAUCUUGAGUUCAAAGACAGUCUUUAAGACCCUGUCAAAAAGAAAAGUCUGUGCCUCAAUAUCCCAUCUAUACAAUGAGGUACUUAUUGUAGUGAAUAAGAAUGCAUCAUUUUAGGAUACUGCAUCAGCAGCAGCUUUUGAAAAGUUAGUGAUCGUUAGCUUCUUUGAAUUGAGUUUGCAAUGGAGAUUACAUUAUGAUGAAAUGUACAGUUGGACAGAUCAUUACUAUGUCUCUCUGAAAUGCCCUAAGGUGGUCGUACAGAUUUGUUUAUAGAGAACAUUUUGCCAUACUUGACUAGAAAAGGUGAUCUACAUUUAGUGCCCUAACAAUAUAAGCCUAGCAAGUAAAUUUGAGAUAAAUAGCAAAGUUUUAAAUUCCAACAAUUAGUCUUAAUUUGAUUCAGAAUGUGCUUCUUAAAUCCAGUUUUUUAUCAUUUGCAAGACUAUAUGCCUGUGUAUGUAUUAUAAACACAUAAUGAUUGAAAUUAAGUUAUUAGAUGGAAAUGUGGGCCAAUUUUAAGAUUAAGGAGACAGCCACUUUCUGGAAGCAUCAAAAGUGUUUGUUCCUAUGGUAUAUUACCACAAUUUAGUGUAUAUAGUUUACAGAUCCAUUUAGAAAUUUAAUAUUUAUUAAUAACUGAUAUCAUUCUUUUUUUGAUUUGUAGUUUCACAUGUUAUAUUUUAGCAGCUUAAGAGACAUGCUGAUAGUUCUUUAGGAUUAUGUGCAUCAGUGGCUCAGAUAACCCUGCAACAGAGACACAAGCAAAAUGACAUUUUGGGACCAUUUCAGCACGUAUAGCCUCUUGUCUUAAUGUAUUCCCCGUGCAGUAUAGAGAUAAGAGCUGUGUGUCAGUUCUGAAAUAGCCUUUAAAUUUGAUUUUUUAAAAACAAGAGACUCAGGGACAGAACUAAGCCAAAAAAUCUCUGAUUUAACAUCAUGUUUUCCAUAAUGUUUAUUUUGUUGUGUUGGGAUGUUUUAUAAAAGAAAAUAAUGCUGUGACAGUUUAGUAAUUCUACAGGUUUCUUAGUAUUUCCCCACCCAGUCCUUCAUUUCACGUUUCUGAAGUGUGAAUUAAAUUACUGAUUUUUUUUAAAAAAUGAGUUUUAAGUGAUAACUGUUUUAAAUUUAUAUAAAUAGAAUAUUGUGAACUGCAGAGAAGAUGAGAAAUUGUUUUCACAGGAUUUGUAUUGUAAACUUAAGUAAACCUUUGUUACCUCUUUGUGAUCUGCUGGUGACAAAUAUAUGUUAUAAAUAUGUU